ACUCUCGGCAACAGAUAUCUCGGCUCUCGCAUCAUGAAGAAUGUAGCGAAAUGCGAUACCUGGUGUGAAUUGCAGAAUCCCGUGAACCAUCGAGUCUUUGAACGCAAGUUGCGCCCGAAGCCAUUAGGACUUGGGCACGUCUGCAUGGGUGUCACGCAUCAUGUCGCCCCCUUGAAUUGCGCCUCAAUCAUGGGGCGCGCUGUCAUCGCGAGGCAGAUACUGGCCUCCCGUGCACCUCGAACUUGCGGCUGGCCUAAAUACGAGUCCACAUCGACGGACGUCGCGGAAAGUUGUGGUUGUAACUCAACUCUCUUUGUUAUUGCGGCUAUAGCCCGUCGCGCGUCCGAACUCAUGGACCCUUUCGCGCUUAGGCGCUCCGACCGCGACCCCAGGUCAGGCGGAAUUACCCGCUGAGUUUAAGCAUAUCAAUAAGUGCAGGAAAAGAAACUUGCAAAGAUUCUAUUAGUAAUGGCGAGCGAACCAGGAACAGCCAAGCCUUAGAAUCGAACGGCUCCGUCGUUCGAAUUGUAGCUUGGAGAAGCGUCCUCAGCGGCGGACCGGGCCCAAGUUUCCUGAAAGGGGGGCGCCAGAGAGGGUGAGAGACCAGUUGUGCCCAUACCCUGUCGCACCACAAGGCGCUGUCUACGAGUCGGGUUGUUUGGAAAUGCAGCCCAAAACGGGCAGCGAAUUCCGUCCAAGGCUAAAUACGGGUGAAAGAUCGAUACCGAACAAGUACCGCGAGGGAAAGAUGAAAAGGACUUUGAAAAGAGAGUCAAAGGGUGCUUGAAAUUGUUGGGAGUAAAGCAGAUGGGGGCCGGUGAUGCGCCCCGGUCGGAUGUGGAACGAUGACGAACUGGUUCGCCGAUCAACUCGGGGCGUGGACCAGUGUGGAUUGGGGGGAGGCCAAAGCUCGGGCUCUCGAUACACUCGGGGAACGUUGUCUCCUCAAUUGUGGCAAGCAGUGUGCACUUUCGUCGUGCUUUGGAAUCUGCGCGCUCCUGACGCUUCCCAUGGGAUCCUCAUUCAACCCGUCUUGAAACACGGACCAAGGAUUCUGACAUAUGUGUGCGAGUCAACGGGCGAUUAAACCCGUUAGGCGUAAGGAAUCUGAUUGGUGGGAUCCCCCCGAAGGGUGCACCGCCGACCGACCUUGAUCUUCUGAGAAGGGUUCAAGUGUGAGCAUACCUAUCGGGACCCGAAAGAUGGUGAACUAUGCCUGAGCUGGGAUAAUCCAUAGGAAACUCUGGUGGAGGCCCGCAGCGAUAGUGACGUGCAAAUCGUUCGUCUGACUUGGGUAUAAGGGCGAAAGACUAAUCGAACCAUCUAGUAGCUGGUUGCCUUCGAAGUUUCCCUUAGGAUUAGAGGCAUUGAGGGCUCAACGCCCUCGACCUAUUCUCAAACUUUAAAUAGGUAGGACGGCGCGACUGGCGAUGUGGUAAGCGAAAAUGGCGAUGCAGGAUGAACCGAAAGUUGGGUUUCAGUGCAAAACUAUGCGCUAACCUAGAUCCCACAAAGGGUGUUGGUCGAUUAAGACAGCAGGACGGUGGUCAUGGAAGUCGAAAUCCGCUAAGGAGUGUGUAUAAACUCACCUGCCAAGUCAACUAGCCCCAAAAAUGGAUUGCCCUUAAGCGCGCAACCUACACCCGGCCGUCGGGGCAAGUGCCAGGCCCCGAUGACUAAGAGGGCGCGGCGAUCACUGCAAAACCUUGGGCGCGAGCGGUCGUCCGUGCAGAUCUUUGUGGUAGUAGAAAAUAUUCAAAUGAGAACUUUGAAGGUUGAAGAGGGGAAAGGUUCCAUGUAAACGACACUUGCACAUGAGUUAGUUAAUCCUAAGGGUCGGGGAAACCCCGACAGAUAGCGCAUACUCCAAAAGGGGAUCGGGAUAAAAUUCCUGAACUGGGAUGUGGUGAUCGACGGCAACGUUAGGAAGUCCGAAGACAUCGGUGGGAGCCUCGGGAAAAGUUAUCUUUUCUGUUUAACAGCCUGCGCACCCUGGAAUCGGCUCGGCCGGAGGUAGGGUCCAGCAGUUGGAAGAGCAUCGUACGUCGCGUGGUGUUCGGUUUGCUCCCAGCGCCACCGUUGCACCGUGGCACCAAGGCACCGUGGCACCAAGACACCAUGGCACCAUAGAACCAAGGCACCGUGGCACCAAGGCAUCGUGGCACCAUGGCGCCGUGGAAUCGGGGCACCGUGGCACGAAGGCACCAAGGCACUGUGGCACUGUGGCACCGUGGUACAAAGGCACCAUGGCUCCAUGGCACCAAGGCACCAAGGCACCAAGGCACCGUGGCACCGUGGUACUAUGGCACGAAGGCACCAAGGCACCAAGAUACCAAGGCACCAUGGCACCAAGGGACCGUGGCACCAUGGCACCAAGGCACCAAGGCACCAUGGCACCUAGGCACCGUGGCAGCAAGGCACCAAGGCACCAUGGCACCAUGGCACCGUGGCACCAAGGCACCAUGAUACCAUGGCACCAAGGCACCGUGGCGAAAAGGCACCAUGGCCCCAUGAAACCAAGGCACCAUGGUGACACGGUGCGGCUCCAUGGCGCCAUGGCACCAAGGUAUCACCGUGGCAAAAUUAAAAGAGCGUAAACCUACGUUUGAUCAUCCAAAUAUUUUCCUGACGUUCAUCCAUAUUCCUCACCAUUGCAUACUCAUUUUGUUACAUAUCCGUUCUAAUUAUUUAUUUGAAAUAUAUUUCAACGUCAUCUCAUAUGUUGUGACGGUUUUCGUAAAGUUUCGUUGCCUUUUUUUCAAAUUUUUAUUUAAUAUCCUUAAAUUUAAAUAUUUUAUAAAGCUACUUUAUUCGUACAAAUAUGCACUCAAUUGUUGGUUUAAGGUUACUUCAUUCUAAUACGCAUAUUUUGGGAUUGUUACUUAUCUGUUGCAUUCGGGGCGAUUUUCCUAAUGUCUCCACAUUAUUUCUAUAUAUUUUUUUAAAUUUUUAUUUAAUAUCCUUAAAAUUAAUUUUUUUAUACCAUUACAUUAUACGUACAAAUAUGCACUCGAUUGUUAGUUUGAGGUUAGUUCAUGCGCUGGGAAUAUUUUUCUGACAUUUUUAUAUUUUUAUAAAUAUUUUUUCUAUUUUCAAUUUAUUUUUACUUAGUUUUUGAAUUGUUACAAAUGAUAUUUGAAAAAAACUAUUUUCUUAACAAAAAUUAUCAUUUACAAAUUAUGCGACUUUUUUGUGAGUGCAUAGGCUCUGUCUCACAUCAAAACGUUCAGUUCGGAUCCGCAUAUGUCUAGGAUGAUUCUCUGGCAAAAUCAUGUCUACUCCUGUCACUUGGUUUUUUUUUU
rnacentral:rRNA from 1 species